AUAACUAAUAACCUUCUAUAAUAGAAAGCACCAGGCUUAGAUGGGUUCACUGAUGAUUGAUCAAACAUUUAAGAAAUAAAUCUUUGACCCAGAAAUAUUUCCUUAAAAUUUUUUUUCUAAGAAAGAAAUCAUACCAAUUCUCUACAAUAGCUUCCAAAAAAAUAGAAGCUAAGGGAACACACCCUAACUGACUCUAGGAGACCAGCAUUACUCUAAUACUAAAAUCAGAUAAAGACAUGACAAGAAAGGGAAAACUACAGUCUCUCAUAAACAUAGAUGCAAAAAUCCUUAACAAAAUAUUAGCAAAUCAAAUGCAAUAAUGUGUAAAAAGAAUGAUAUAUUAUGACCAAGUGGGAUUUAUUCCAGGUAUGCAAGACUGAUUCAACAUUUGAAAAUCAAUUAAUGUAACCCAUCAUAUCAACAUACUAAAGAGGAAAAAAUCAUGAUUGUAUUAAUAGGUACAGAAAAAGCAUUUGACAAAAUCCAACACUCAUUCAAGAUAAAAAUGCUCAGUAGGCCAGGUAUGCAUGUAAUCCCAGCACUUUUGGAGGCCAAGGCAGGAGGAUCACUUGAGCUCGGGAGUUUGAGACCAGCCUGGGCAACAAAACAAGACCCCGUCUCUAAUUAAAAAAAAAAAAAAAAAAGGCUGGGUGCGGUGGCUCACGCCUGUAAUCCCAGCCCUUUGGGAGGCCAAGGUGAGUGGAUCACGAGGUCAGGAGAUCAAGACCAUCCUGGCUAACACAGUGAAACCCCGUCUCUACUAAAAAUACAAAAAAAUUAGCCGGGCGUGGUGGCAGGCGCCUGUAGUCCCAGCUACUCAGGAGGCUGAGGCAGGAGAAUGACGUGAACCUGGGAGGCAGAGCUUGCAGUGAGCUGAGACCGCGCCACUGCCCUCCAGCCCGGGCGACAGAGCAAGACUCCAUUUCAAAAAAAAAAAAAAUGCUCAGUAUACUUGAAAUAGAGGGGAUCUUCAUCAAUCAUAUACAGAAUAUCUACAAAAAACCUACAUCAUACUUAAUGAUGAGAGACUAUAUGAUUUUCCCCUAGGUCAGGAACAAGGCAAAGAUGUUUACUCUCAUGUUCCUAUUUAAUAUCAUACCAGAAUCCUAGCUAAUAAGACCAGAUAAGGAAAUGUAGCUUUAUACAGAUUGGGAAGGAGGAAUAAAACUGUCUUUGUUCACAGUCAACAUGAUUGUCUAUAUAGAAACACAUACAAAAAGUCUCCUGAAACUAAUAAGCAGUUAUGGCAAGGUCACAGGAUAUAAGGUUAAUGUACAAAAGUCAAUUGCUUUCCUAUAUACCAGCAAUGAACAAUUGGAAUUUGAAAUUUUAAAAAAGUAUGUAUGUUGAAGGCAGGGAAGAUUGGGAAUUUUAUGAGUGAAGAAUUGGCAGGAAGGUUAGUUUAGAGGGUAUGAACAUGAUUUGCCAAAGAGGUAAUAAGGUUUGGACUACAUUUAUGUCAGCAAAGAGGAGAGGACAGAUUAAUUCAUUCAAUAAGUGAUUGAGUAGAUACCUACUGGUGUCAGGCAUUGUUCUAGGCACUGGGAAUACAGCAGCAAACAAAAUGAUUGAGUAGAUACCUACUGGUGUCAGGCAUUGUUCUAGGCACUGGGAAUACAGCAGCAAACAAAAUAGAUCACCCCUUGGGGCUUUCAAGUGGAGUAUCGGUGACAGAGUGGGUGUCUGAUUGGAUAUCGGGGAAAAGGAGAAAGGUGCGAUGAGGCAAUUCAGGGGUCAUUGGUACCUGGAUUUUUCACCUUGAACAACUAAGUGAUAUCAUUGGACUUGUUGGGUAGACAAGGUCUAGGGGACAUCCAGAUGGACUCAUUUUCACAGCUAGCAAGAGAGACAUUCUGAAGAUCAAUAGUAAGGGAGAAACUGGAAGUACAGACUUUGGGGUCCUAAGAGGCAGUUAGAACCAUGGGAGUAGAUGAUUGUAUAAGAUAAAUAGUUUUGCCUCUUACUUCCCCCACCCCAACAAAUGAAAUGGAAUCAGAAGUGUAGGAGGAGAACUAGGGGAAAUUAGGAAGUGAGAUUUUCAUCAGGGCAAAAUGAUGCUGACGGAUCAAAUGGGACAAGAAAUGUGAAAAAAAUCAUUUUACACUUUUAUCCAUCUAUUGAUGGAUAAAAUUUAACCAAAAUUGAGUCACUGAAUUUGAUCAUUGAUCAAAUUUUUCUUACUCUGAUAAGAGUUUUCAGAAAACUCUGAUCAGAGUUUUCUUACUCUGAUAUCUCAUAUUCAAAAGGGAAAGAAAAUCAACAACACAAUAAACAACCUCCUGAGGAAUGCAGUGUAAAAGCAAGGCUUGGUGUGUUGUUUCGCAAAAAAUCUUGCUUUGUCAGCAUUAAUACUAACAGAUAACAUGAGAAGAGGCAAAAGUGUUGGCUAAAUGUACCAUAACUGCCUGGGAAUAGUUAUCUGUAGUCUAUUUUUUUUUUUUCUCAUCUAAAGUUCUUAGAUGAAAGAGAGCUGGGUUACUGUGAACCAAAAUCUCCUGCU
rnacentral:lncRNA from 10 species